AAUGAGCUGCCAAUCUAGACAACAGGGCCGCCAGCAAUGUACCCAGCAAUGUGCUCGACAAACUUGCCAGCAGCAUUGUCAGAGGCAGCAAAUGGGUGAUCGACGUCAACAGCAACAGUGCCAAGAAAGGUGUGAGAGACAAUUCCAACAGCGAGGAGAAAAACUAGACAUUAACCCAUCAAGAGAUCCAGAGCAAAAGCUUGAGCAAUGCCAACAAAGUUGCCGAAUGAUGCAACAAGGCCAACAACAGCAGCAAUGUCGUAGAGAAUGCGCACAUCAAUUGAGCCAGCGAGAGCGUCAACAAAUCUGCCAACAACGUUGUCAGAUACAACAAAGUGGAGAUCAGCAACAGUGCCAAAGAAGGUGCCAGCAACAACUUGAGCAAGGUCAGGUCCAGAACUACCAUGAAAUAAGUCGGGGUGAGAGUCAAAUGAACAACCCUUACUUCUUUCCCUCAGACAUGUUUCACCAAAAAUUCAGGUCUGAAGAAGGUGGGAUGUAUGUUCUUGAGAGGUUCACCAUGAAUCAAAAUAUGCUUCUUCGCGGCAUUAGGAACUAUCGAUUAGCCAUCUUUGAGGCCAGGCCCAACACUUUCGUCCUCCCACACCAUUGUGACGCUGAAUCCAUUUAUGUUGUUAUCAAUGGACGUUGCACCUGUACAAUGA